UACAGAGGUCCCGAGCGUUGUUCGGAUUCACUGGGCGUAAAGGGUGCGUAGGUGGUGAGGUAAGUCGGAUGUGAAAUCUCCGAGCUCAACUCGGAAAUGGCAUUGGAAACUACCUUGCUAGAGGGUUGGAGGGGGGACUGGAAUACUUGGUGUAGCAGUGAAAUGCGUAGAUAUCAAGUGGAACACCAGUGGCGAAGGCGAGUCCCUGGACAACUCCUGACACUGAGGCACGAAAGCUAGGGGAGCAAACAGG
rnacentral:rRNA from 1 species